rnacentral:rRNA from 1 species
GAUGAACGCUGACGGAAUGCUUAACACAUGCAAGUCUACUUGAACUUCGGUUUGGGUGGCGGACGGGUGAGUAACGCGUAAAGAACUUGCCUCACAGAUAGGGACAACAUUUGGAAACGAAUGCUAAUACCUGAUAUUAUGAUUUUAGGGCAUCCUAGAAUUAUGAAAGCUAUAUGCACUGUGAGAGAGCUUUGCGUCCCAUUAGCUAGUUGGAGAGGUAACGGCUCACCAAGGCGAUGAUGGGUAGCCGGCCUGAGAGGGUGAUCGGCCACAAGGGGACUGAGACACGGCCCUUACUCCUACGGGAGGCAGCAGUGGGGAAUAUUGGACAAUGGACCAAGAGUCUGAUCCAGCAAUUCUGUGUGCACGAUGAAGUUUUUCGGAAUGUAAAGUGCUUUCAGUUGGGAAGAAAAAAAUGACGGUACCAACAGAAGAAGUGACGGCUAAAUACGUG